rnacentral:rRNA from 1 species
UACGUAGGUGGCAAGCGAUACUCGGAAUCACUAGGCGUAAAGCGCAGGUAGGCGGUUUGGUAAGUCUUUUGUGAAAGCUCCUGGCUUAACUGGGAGAGGUCAAAGGAAACUACCAGGCUAGAGUGUGGCAGAGGAAGCUGGAAUUCCCGGUGUAGCGGUGAAAUGCGUAGAUAUCGGGAGGAAUACCUAUGGCGAAAGCAGGCUUCUGGGCCAUCACUGACGCUGAUCUGCGAAAGCUAGGGGAGCAAACAG